UUGUAUUUGAUUGGUAUAAUUUUUCACGUAGAAAAUGUUGAAAUCAAAGUAUUUUUUUGGUAUUCGUUUGACUUUGUUUUACAUGAAAAUUGUCAAUUAAAGGGAUAGAAUUUUGUACUAACUUGAGAGAUUUGGGGCUCAUAUUGGUGACGUUAUUGUUGCCCAGUAAUCCUAGCCGUAAACGAUAGAUACUAGGCGCUAUGCGUAUCGAUCCGUGCAGUGCUGUAGCUAACGCGUUAAGUAUCCCGUCUGAAGAGUACGUUCACAAGAAUGAAACUCAAAAGAAUUGACAGGGGCCCGCACAAGCGAUUAUGAAUCUUUGUCAUAUCCAUAGACUCUUUG
rnacentral:rRNA from 1 species